GGUUUUUUGUUUAUAUAAAAGAUUUGGCCUGCUCUAUGAUUAUUUAAAUGGCUGCAGUAUUUUGACUGUACAAAGGUAGCAUAAUCAUUUGUCUUUUGAUUGGGGACUGGAAUGAAUGGUUAGAUGAGAAGUAUUCUUUCUUUAUAUUAAAGAGUGAAUUUGAUCUUUAAAUUAAAAAGUUUAAAUAUUUUUAUCAGACGAGAAGACCCUAUAGAACUUUAUUAGUUAUUUAUCUAUAAUUUUUAGUAUGAUGAUUUUAUAGAUUAUUUUACUAAUUUUAUUGGGGUGAUAAAAAAAAAUUAAUAACUUUUUUUAUUAUUUUCAUUUAUAUAUGUUUUUUUGAUCCUUUAUGUUUGGAAUAUAAGAUUAAGUUACCUUAGGGAUAACAGCGUUAUUGUUUUGGAGAGUUCAUAUUGAUAAAAUAGUUUGCGACCUCGAUGUUGGAUUAAAAUAAGUGAUGGGGGUAGUACCUUAUUUACUAGGUCUGUUCGACCUUUGAAUUUUUACA
rnacentral:rRNA from 4 species